AGCUCCAGUAGCGUAUAUUAAUGUUGUUGCAGUUAAAAAGCUCGUAGUUGGAUUUCUGACAGGAGUGACCGGUCCGAGCCUCACGGUUCGUGUACUUGUGUUGUCUCUAGUCAUCCUUAUGGAAAUAGUUUAGGGCAUUCAGUUGUCCUUUAUUAAAUCCAUAUCGUUUACUGUGAAAAAAUUAGAGUGUUUAAAGCAGGCAAUCGCUGUGAAUACAUUAGCAUGGAAUAAUAAGAUAGGACUUUGGUACUAUUUUGUUGGUUUGCAUACCAAGGUAAUGAUUAAGAGGGACAGUUGGGGGUAUUCGUAUUUAAUUGUCAGAGGUGAAAUUCUUGGAUUUAUGAAAGACGAACUACUGCGAAAGCAUUUACCAAGGAUGUUUUCAUUAAUCAAGAACGAA
rnacentral:rRNA from 1 species